rnacentral:rRNA from 1 species
AUUGAACGCUGGCGGCAUGCCUUACACAUGCAAGUCGAACGGUAACAGGUCUUCGGAUGCUGACGAGUGGCGAACGGGUGAGUAAUACAUCGGAACGUGCCUAGUAGUGGGGGAUAACUACUCGAAAGAGUGGCUAAUACCGCAUGAGAUCUACGGAUGAAAGCAGGGGAUCGCAAGACCUUGUGCUACUAGAGCGGCCGAUGGCAGAUUAGGUAGUUGGUGGGAUAAAAGCUUACCAAGCCGACGAUCUGUAGCUGGUCUGAGAGGACGAUCAGCCACACUGGGACUGAGACACGGCCCAGACUCCUACGGGAGGCAGCGGUGGGGAAUUUUGGACAAUGGGCGCAAGCCUGAUCCUGCAAUGCCGCGUGCAGGAUGAAGGCCUUCGGGUUGUAAACUGCUUUUGUACGGAACGAAAAGCCCUGGGUUAAUACCCUGGGGUCAUGACGGUACCGUAAGAAUAAGCACCGGCUAACUACGUGCCAGCAGCCGCAGUAAAAC